UAACCUGCCUGGUAGCGGGGGGUAACUAUUGGAAACGAUAGCUAAUACCGCAUAAUAGUAGAUGUUGCAUGACAUUUACUUAAAAGGUGCAAUUGCAUCACUACCAGAUGGACCUGCGUUGUAUUAGCUAGUUGGUGGGGUAACGGCUCACCAAGGCGACGAUACAUAGCCGACCUGAGAGGGUGAUCGGCCACACUGGGACUGAGACACGGCCCAG
rnacentral:rRNA from 1 species